rnacentral:rRNA from 1 species
AGCGCAACCCCUAUCAUCUGUUGCCAGCAUUUAAGGUGGGGACUCAGAUGAGACUGCCGGUGACAAACCGGAGGAAGGUGGGGACGGACGUCAAGUCAUCAUGGCCCUUAUGUCCUGGGCUACACACGUGCUACAAUGGCCGGUACAGAGUGAAGCGAAACCGCGAGGUGAAGCAAAACGCAAGAAAGCCGGUCUCAGUACGGAUUGGAGUCUGAAACUCGACUUCAUGAAGUUGGAAUCGCUAGUAAUCGCGCAUACAGCAUGGCGCGGUGAAUACGUUCCCGGGCCUU